CUCAAACAGUUGUACCUUUCAUUUCGUCUUCGCUCAAACCCAUCGCUCUUUUAUGAGUUUUUUCCUCGAUUCUUGGCUACUCAGCCUAUCAUCCGUCGCUCAAACUGAUUUUUGUUAGGACUGUUCGUCCGGGCCAGGUUUUUCUUCGACCCAGUCCUGAUCAAACCCGGUUCAGAACCCGUGUUGCAAAACCUGGACCUCCCAGGUCUGGGUAUGGUUUGGUAACCAGGAUACCGGAUUUAAACCUGUACCCGGGUCUUCUACUUUUUCACUCCGUCAUCAACUUCUACAACCCAAGGUGGUAAGAAGUCUAGGGAUCACAUUCCUGCUGCUUGUAAGGACUCUAUGGUAAUUUUGUUCAUGUUUGAUCUAUCAAGUCGGUGUACACUAAAUGGAUGUUCAUCUACAUCAAUGUCUUGCAAAUUAACCACAACAACAAUACCGGGAAGAUAUUUGAAGUAGAGGGGACAGAGAUCCAUCAAUCUUCGUUAGAUGUUCUUCUUCCAAAGUUGUGAUUUGUAAUUCAUGUAUUAUAAUUUUGUGUUUUGUAACGUAAUGUAUAAAUACCAAUUAAUGUAAUAUGUAGUAAAUUGCAAUGU